rnacentral:tRNA from 1 species
GCUCUAGUCGCGCAAUCGGUUAGCGCGCGGUACUUAUAAUGCCGAGGUUGUGAGUUCAAGCCUCACCUGGAGCA